GACGAACGCUGGCGGCGUGCUUAACACAUGCAAGUCGAACGGAAAGGCCCUGCUUUUGUGGGGUGCUCGAGUGGCGAACGGGUGAGUAACACGUGAGUAACCUGCCCUUGACUUUGGGAUAACUUCAGGAAACUGGGGCUAACACCGGAUAGGAGCUCCUGCUGCAUGGUGGGGGUUGGAACGUUUCGGCGGUUGGGGAUGGACUGGGGGCUUAUUAGCUUGUUGGUGGGGUAGUGGCUUACCAAGGGUUUGACGGGUAGCCGGCCUGGGAGGGUGAACGGCCACAUUGGGCCUGAGAUACGGCCCAGACUGCUACAGGAGGCAGCAGUGGGGAAUAUUGUCCAAUGGGCGGGAGCCUGAUGCAGCAACGCCGCGUGCGGGAUGACGGCCUUCGUGUUGUAAACCGCUUUCGCCUGUGACGAAGCGUGAGUGACGGUAAUGGGUAAAGAAGCACCGGCUAACUACGUG
rnacentral:rRNA from 1 species